GAAAUGCGAUAAGUAAUGUGAAUUGCCGAAUUCAGUGAAUCAUCGAAUCUUUGAACGCACCUUGCGCUCCUUGGUAUUCCUUGGAGCAUGCCUGUUUGAGUAUCAUGAAAUCUUCAAAGUAAAUCUUUUGUUAACUCAAUUGGUUUCUACUUUGGUAUUGGAGGUCUUUGCAGCUUCACACCUGCUCCUCUUUGUUCAUUAGCUGGAUCUCAGUGUUAUGCUUGGUUCCACUCGGCGUGAUAAGUUAUCUAUCGCUGAGGACACUGUAAAAGGUGGCCAAGGUAAAUGCAGAUGAACCGCUUCUAAUAGUCCAUUGACUUGGACAAUACUUUUAUGAUCUGAUCUCAAAUCAGGUAGGACUACCCGCUGAACUUAAGC
rnacentral:misc_RNA from 1 species